rnacentral:rRNA from 1 species
GAUGAACGCUAGCGGCAGGCCAACACAUGCAAGUCAAGGGGUAACAUGGAAAGCUUGCUUUCUGAUGACGACCGGCGCACGGGUGCGUAACGCGUAUACAACCUACCUUUUAGCGGGGAAUAGCCCAGGGAAACUUGGAUUAAUGCCCCAUAGUAUAUAGACUUCUCCUGAAGUUUAUAUUAAACAUUUAUGGCUAUUAGAUGGGUAUGCGUCCUAUUAGUUAGUUGGUAAGGUAACGGCUUACCAAGGCAGCGAUAGGUAGGGGUCCUGAGAGGAGGUCCCCACACUGGUACUGAGACACGGACCAGACUCCUACGGGAGGCAGCAGUGAGGAAUAUUGGACAAUGGGCGAGAGCCUGAUCCAGCCAUGCCGCGUGCAGGAAGACUGCCCUAUGGGUUGUAAACUGCUUUUACAGAGGAAGAACCACCCCCACGUGUGGGGGGUUUGACGGUACUCUGCGAAUAAGGAUCGGCUAACUCCGUG